rnacentral:rRNA from 1 species
UACGAAGGGUGCAAGCGUUAAUCGGAAUUACUGGGCGUAAAGCGUGCGUAGGCGGUUUGUUAAGUCUGUUGUGAAAUCCCCGGGCUCAACCUGGGAAUGGCAAUGGAUACUGGCAAGCUAGAGUGUGUCAGAGGAUGGUGGAAUUCCCGGUGUAGCGGUGAUAUGUCGUAGAUGAUCGGGAGGAACACCUGUGGCGAAGGCGGCUUUCUGGGCCUUACCUGACGCUGAGACGCGAAAGCGUGGGGAGCGAACCGG